rnacentral:rRNA from 1 species
CCUACGGGGGGCAGCAGUGGGGAAUAUUGGACAAUGGGCGAAAGCCUGAUCCAGCCAUGCCGCGUGUGUGAAGAAGGCCUUCGGGUUGUAAAGCACUUUCAGUGGGGAAGAAAGCCUUGGGGCUAAUACCCUCGAGGAAGGACAUCACCCACAGAAGAAGCACCGGCUAACUCCGUGCCAGCAGCCGCGGUAAUACGGAGGGUGUGAGCGUUAAUCGGAAUUACUGGGCGUAAAGCGCGCGUAGGCGGUCUGAUAAGCCGGUUGUGAAAGCCCCGGGCUCAACCUGGGAACGGCAUCCGGAACUGUCAGGCUAGAGUGCAGGAGAGGAAGGUAGAAUUCCCGGUGUAGCGGUGAAAUGCGUAGAGAUCGGGAGGAAUACCAGUGGCGAAGGCGGCCUUCUGGACUGACACUGACGCUGAGGUGCGAAAGCGUGGGUAGCAAACAGGAUUAGAUACCCUGGUAGUC